ACGUAGGGUGCAAGCGUUAAUCGGAAUUACUGGGCGUAAAGCGUGCGCAGGCGGUUGUGCAAGACAGGUGUGAAAUCCCCGAGCUCAACUUGGGAACUGCACUUGUGACUGCACGGCUAGAGUACGGUAGAGGGGAGUGGAAUUCCGCGUGUAGCAGUGAAAUGCGUAGAUAUGCGGAGGAACACCGAUGGCGAAGGCAGCUCCCUGGACCUGUACUGACGCUCAUGCACGAAAGCGUGGGGAGCAAACAGGA
rnacentral:rRNA from 1 species